GUCAGAGCAGGACGGCAGUGAUGACCCUCUGCAGGGGCAGUACCUCUAUGACGACGAGGAUGAACUGAGGAAAAAGAAACCUCGCCGUAAACUCCCCUCCACAGCCUCCAUCACCAGAGCUAACCAACCCAACAUCAAACAGAAGCUUAUGGCAUUGGUGAAAUGGUUCAAAGUGUCUGAUGAGGU